UCUACAUGCCGGAGAGAGAAAGACAGAGACGGGAAAAGAGGGUGAAGACGGCGCGGCAAAACUUUGAGACGGGAGGUGAUGAUGCAAGGCCGAGGCAAGACGCCUAAUACCCCCGGCUAACGAUCCAGCAACUGGAAUGCAAACCCUCGAAAUAUCUCCGAGGCAAAGAGCGAUGAUCAAGGAAAGAGACUUUAAGAUGCAGACACGACGCCUCUGUACUGAGAAAAGCACGUCUUUUACUCUGAGAGAAAUCAAAAAAAAAUAUGCAAAGUUAUGUACAUCUCAACUAAGCAGCUAGUCAAAAUUUUUCAUUCUAAAACCUUGCUUCCUUUUAUUUUGUCAGAAAAUCAGGUCCAAUCAAAUCUUAUUUUCUUAAACCUUGUGCAGUGAUUUGUCUUUUUUUUGACUUGUUUCACUCAGAGAAGAUGAAACUGCACAGGGGAAGGAAUUAUCUCAGCACACUGACUCAUGUUUUCUGCACUGGAGGACAUCUUACUCUCCGACACGCACCGCAGGCUACAGUAGCUGUUCGAUGACUGGCACUACACACAAAUCAAUCAGCACAGUAAUCACUGUCACUGCUUGGAGGUCAAGCUCACGCUCCCGCUCCAAAUCUGCGUCUAAGUGAGUAAUUGAUCGUCUGGCACACGAUUACAAUCCUCAUCAUCAAUUUCUUCAGGCAUCAAAACUCUCCAAAGUCCCAAAAGUGCUGCUGUGCAGUGAAGCCACCGGGGGAGGGAAUCACGAUAUCGACGCUAUCACGAUGCAGCGAUUCUGCCAUACUCCACACGUUGCAUGACGAUCGUCUAUGACGCAUCACGAUAUCUGUGUAAGUGAGGAGGGAAAAUAAAAAAGGCAACAAGCAGGUUUCAUGUAUUUAUUCACUGCACUGCUGUUUCAGUUUCACAGAAUUUGAACUGAACUGAGAUGAAACUGUAAAAAAAGUGCAUAAAGUCUUAGCUUAGUGCCUCUCUUUAAUACACACACACACACACACACACACACACACACACACAAUGACAGUAACUUGUGCGUGUCCAUGUGUGCCAUCGCUCAGAUGUAAAACAGCCAUAAACUUGCAAAAGGCCAAACUGCCAGAAAGCAGAAAAGUUCUGGAGUCUAAAGACUUAAA